GAUGAAUAAGUCCACAACUAAAACCAUGCACGCUACUUUAUAGGCAUAUAUGGUAUUCAAUUGGACAAUAUAGAUAUUGGUUAACUAUUCCUCUUAAGGAUAUCGGCUAAAAGAUAAAAUCCUUAAUAAAGUAAUACCGACAAAAAUAUAAU